AAAAGAUGUCUCUGCUCACUCCAUUUGGAGGCCCACCUCAACAGGCUAAGAUGAACACUUGCCCAUGCUACUACAAGUACAGCGUGAGCCCACUGCCUGCCAUGGACCACUUGAUCCUAGCUGACCUAGCUGGCCUGGAUUCUCUCACUUCACCUGUUUAUGUGAUGGCAGCAUAUUUUGAUUCUACACAUGAAAAUCCUGUGAGACCAUCCAGCAAGCUUUAUCAUUGUGCUCUACAGAUGACAAGUCAUGAUGGGGUGUGGACUUCAACUUCCAGUGAGCAGUGUCCCAUUAGACUGGUUGAGGGCCAGUCUCAAAAUGUGCUGCAGGUCCGGGUGGCUCCGACAUCGAUGCCUAACCUGGUUGGGGUCAGCUUGAUGUUGGAGGGGCAACAGUACAGGCUGGAGUAUUUUGGGGAUCAUUGAUACUCAGUAACUUAAGAGGAAAUUUUUUUGUUAAAAAUAAAGUUAUUUUUAAAAAAGAUACGAGUCAGGUGGUUUUGACCCAUCUCCCCCUCCCCUCGGGUACCAUGAGGUCUGCACCACGCUUGACUAGCAGAAGAGACUUUCAGCUUUCGGGAAGGGUUUAGGCACUUCCCCUCUCAAGCUGCUUCCUUAGCCAGUCUCUUCUGGGUGAAGCGGUGUUACAGACUCUCACGCACAGGGUGGUAUGUAUUCUGGGCCUAAGAGGGAAUGGUGGGUGAAAAUUUUGCCAAAACUGAUUCAGGGCGGACAAAUCUUGGGUGGGAAUGUUUUCCUGAGUGGGAUAUGUCUUCUCGACCGGGGGUGGCGUAUCGGCUGCUUGCAAAGAUUUCUCUGCAGAAAGACAUGUGGUGAUCACUAGGAAAGUGUCCUAAAUUCUGAGGCCAAUGGAAAGGUGAGCAUGUCUUGGGUGGCAAAAAAGGUCCAGGCAAAUGUGAGAAGUUACCUAUCUAUCCAACAUUUGCCGGGAACCUCAAUUAUAAAGGAGAGACCCGGAAGGUGGGUUAGAGGGUCUAAACACUCCGGCCACGCGGGUAGCUAGUCACCAGAGCUCGGAUUUGAACCGAGAACCAACAGGAUGGGCAGCCUGGUGCUCUACCAGGUGAGCCACUCUGGUGCGCGUGGGGAAGAAGACUCGAGCUCCUCAAGAGUCCAGCUUAGUUUUGCAUACAGGCGCGCCAGCCUUGCUAGCAGAGCCGGCGCUAGCACACGCCGGAAGUCACGGUCUUUUUUUAUAAAGAAGAGACCGCCGCGAGACAGACUUCCCGGCCACGCAGGGCCGGCAAGGACUAGGUGAAAUCCUGGGGACUUCUAGAGAGUCUCACCACGUGAUGGCCCCAAAACGUUCUGCACGCUGUAGCACAGCAAUUUCAGUGUCCCACAGCAUCCAGAACGGGGCGCUGACUGCUGCAGAACUGCCAAGUCUGCAGAGUCCCACCACACAGUUUGUGUGGAAUCGCGCGUUAUAGCUGGCCAGGACUCGGACUUGAACCGAGAUCCACAGACUAGACCACGUAGGUGGUGUCUGCCGCUCUACCAAUUGAGCUACCCUGGCCAAAGGCCCCAGAGAAAGCCUUUUAUAGAAGGGACUGUGAGCAGGGAAAGUCCUGUGCUGGUCAGAGUGCAGCAGGUUAAAGAUGGGUAGGUGGAGCUGCAGGUGCAGUAAAAACUGGACCUAGCAAUAUAUCAAGAGUGUUUAGGGAAAACAGGAAGUAUGGAUCGACUAAAGAGGUGUCCUUUUGAAAACAUGAGUUAUGGACAUUAUGUGUGUGGUCGAGACUGGAGGUUCCAACUGCCUUCUUCAAAUGUUGACACUUUGACUGGGUGGGAGACUGAUCCUUUUACUGGAGGGGGUUUCAACAGGCACUAGUCUGAUGAGGUUUCGUUUUCAGGUAAUGGCCCCAACACCCCCACAAGGAAAGAUUCCCAAUCCGUGGCCUGGUGGAUGCUCUCAAAAUCCAGUGCUAUGGGGUGAUGGGACAGACGGGAACUACCGUCCCAGCGAGCCCUGGAUCUUAGGCCAAGUGCCAUGUGAUCAGCGCUUUCCCCAUCCCUCAGGAAAUAAAAACAGUUCCUCUACAUCUGGGGGCAGACCUCAGCGCCCGCCUUUGCCAAGGACUCGCUUUCCUAAAACCAUAAGAAGGGGAUUCAAUAAACUUAGGUCGACGUUAAAGUCCCCAUGGAAGCCGCGGCCGAGUCCUGUACCAAGUCCUGAAGAAGUUAACCCUGCAGGAAGUCCUGAAGAAAACAUCUAUGAAACUGCUAACAGUGAACCAGUCUAUAUCCAGCCAAUCUCUACGAGGUCCUUAAUGAUGUUGGACUCUGGCUCGACUGACAGUCCAGAAAAUCUAGGCCCACCUACAAGACCUUUGCCUAAACUCCCGAACCAACACCCCAUGAACCCUGAGAUACGUCUUCCUAUUAUUCCACCAUCCAAAUGUCAUAAAGGUUUUGUGGAGUGGGGCGAGGAGUAACAGUGAAGGUGCUAACGCAGAACAUAACUUUUUCUUUAAACACGCCUGGAAGGAGAAGCGUGACAGACCAGACAAUCCCAUCACCCAACCAGGUCUCGGACACUCUUUUACAACCCUAGGAGAGCCAGAUAAAAAUUUUGUGUUAAGCAAGAAGAAAAACUCACUUAGGGUUGGUCAGAUCUACUUGAUCUCCUGACCAAACCCCCAGUGAGUGCUGGUAAAGAAGAGCUCACAUGAGAUAGCUUACAACCUACGCGGCCACUCAACAGACUCUUCCCAUGCCAGCGCCCGGACUUGAACCGAGAACCUGCAGGCUUGGUGGCCGCUGCUCUAACAAUUGAGCUACGCUGGCAAUUAUCUAAAAAGGGGAAAACUUUCACUGAACAUUCUGAGUGGCACGAGAAUUAUUUGCAUGUGUGUGAGCAGCCACUGUUCCAUGGGUGCAUAUUUGGGCGGUAGGGGCUGAUAGAGGGUAGUCUUUGGUAUGCUUGAUGUGGCUGCCACGCCCACUGUGGAAGGUGGCACUCAGUAGGUGACAGCAUCCACUUAAUGGACUGAAGCCCGUCAUGACACAACCGUUCAUCUAGAGGCGCAGCUGUAGAUGGUAAGAACUCCCUCACGCUUUCUGCAGUAAAAGAACUUUGUUCACCA
rnacentral:tRNA from 1 species